GUGGGGAAUAUUGGACAAUGGGCGCAAGCCUGAUCCAGCCAUGCCGCGUGAGUGAUGAAGGCCCUAGGGUUGUAAAGCUCUUUCACCGAUGAAGAUAAUGACGGUAGUCGGAGAAGAAGCCCCGGCUAACUUCGUGCCAGCAGCCGCGGUAAUACGAAGGGGGCUAGCGUUGUUCGGAAUUACUGGGCGUAAAGCGCACGUAGGCGGAUAUUUAAGUCAGGGGUGAAAUCCCGGGGCUCAACCCCGGAACUGCCUUUGAUACUGGGUAUCUCGAGUAUGGAAGAGGUGAGUGGAAUUACGAGUGUAGAGGUGAAAUUCGUAGAUAUUCGGAGGAACACCAGUGGCGAAGGCGUCUCACUGGUCCAUUACUGACGCUGAGGUGCGAAAGCGUGGGGAGCAAACAGGAUUAGAUACCCGAGUAGUCC
rnacentral:rRNA from 1 species